rnacentral:rRNA from 1 species
GAUGAACGCUGGCGGCGUGCCUAAUACAUGCAAGUCGAGCGAACAGACGAGGAGCUUGCUCCUCUGACGUUAGCGGCGGACGGGUGAGUAACACGUGGAUAACCUACCUAUAAGACUGGGAUAACUUCGGGAAACCGGAGCUAAUACCGGAUAAUAUAUUGAACCGCAUGGUUCAAUAGUGAAAGACGGUUUUGCUGUCACUUAUAGAUGGAUCCGCGCCGCAUUAGCUAGUUGGUAAGGUAACGGCUUACCAAGGCAACGAUGCGUAGCCGACCUGAGAGGGGGAUCGGCCACACUGGAAAUGAGACACGGUACAGACUCCUACGGGAGGCAGCAGUAGGGAAUCUUCCGAAAUGGGCGAAAGCUUGACGGAGCAACGCCGCGUGAGUGAUGAAGGUCUUCGGAUCGUAAAACUCUGUUAUUAGGGAAGAACAAAUGUGUAAGUAACUAUGCACGUCGUGACGGUACCUAAUCAGAAAGCCACGGCUAACUACGUG